rnacentral:misc_RNA from 1 species
GUGGGAGCCGGGCUUGCCCGCGAUAGCGGUUUGUCAGUCGACAUUUUUGGUGGGACUGAAAUCGCCAUCGCGGGCAAGCCCGGCUCCCAC